rnacentral:rRNA from 1 species
UAGGGAAUCUUCCACAAUGGACGCAAGUCUGAUGGAGCAACGCCGCGUGAGUGAAGAAGGUUUUCGGACCGUAAAGCUCUGUUGUUGGUGAAGAAGGAUAGAGGUAGUAACUGGCCUUUAUUUGACGGUAAUCAACCAGAAAGUCACGGCUAACUACGUGCCAGCAGCCGCGGUAAUCGUAGGUGGCAAGCGUUGUCCGGAUUUAUUGGGCGUAAAGCGAGCGCAGGCGGAAGAAUAAGUCUGAUGUGAAAGCCCUCGGCUUAACCGAGGAAUUGCAUCGGAAACUGUUUUCUUGAGUGCAGAAGAGGAGAGUAGAACUCCAUGUGUAGCGGUGGAAUGCGUAGAUAUAUGGAAGAAUACCAGUGGCGAAGGCGGCUCUCUGGUCUGCAACUGACGCUGAGGCUCGAAAGCAUGGGUAGCGAACAGGAUUAGAUACCCUGGUAGUCCAUGCCGUAAACGAUGGGUGCUAAGUGUUGGGAGGCUUCCGCCUCUCAGUGCUGCAGCUAACGCAUUAAGCACUCCGCCUGGGGGAGUACGACCGCAAGGUUGAAAC